rnacentral:misc_RNA from 1 species
UAAUAAGUGUUUUAUGGCACUUUUUAAAUCCAUAUCCACCUUGUGUGCAAUGUCAGUCGAUCUUCUUCAUGGAGAUCGACCAAACAUCAACCUUUAUUUUUUAACUCUUUGUCUGAAAAAUAUUAUGAAUAAACAAUUCAAAAUAC